UACGGGGGGGGCAAGCGUUGUUCGGAAUUACUGGGCGUAAAGGGCUCGUAGGCGGCCAACUAAGUCGGAUGUGAAAUCCCCAGGCUUAACCUGGGAACUGCAUCCGAUACUGGAUGGCUUGAAUCCGGGAGAGGGAUGCAGAAUUCCAGGUGUAGCGGUGAAAUGCGUAGAUAUCUGGAGGAAUACCGGUGGCGAAGGCGGCAUCCUGGACCAUUACUGACGCUGAGGCGCGAAAGCUAGGGGAGCAAACGGG
rnacentral:rRNA from 1 species